CAAAUAGAGGAGUUUGUUGUUUGCUCUAGGGGCAACCAGGGAGCCUCUGAAUUAAUUGAAUUCAAGAGAAUGACAUCAUCAGACCUGGUGGCAUUUUUCCUCUCCCUGCCCCCGGGAAAAAAAAAAUCAACACAAAAAACAGCAAAAACAGCUUUGCCCAUCUUACCGAGAGUACACGCAGAGCCUGGCUGGUCUAAAUAAGCUCUGGAGUUUGGCUGAGAUGCAGUUCCAAGCAACCCACCACUCUCGAUACCUG